ACUAGAUAAACUUGAGAUAUACAAGUCUAAUACAACUGUAUAGAGUACUCCAAUAGAUAAGAGAAAUCUGUGCAUAUAUUUUCUGCUUUUUCCAGUUGCUUUCUAUUAUCCCAAAUGAUGGUCAUCCACAUCCAACCAUCAUCUUGGCCGGCCCCUAUAACCAGAUAAACCCAACUCCUCUCUCUUGUCUAAUUUUAAACUCCUUAAUAUAUCUCUACCUAAUAAAAGUUCUUAACAGUAUUUACUAAGGCUCUAUUAGUUUUUAUGCAGGAGUUGAAUAGCACAAGGAGCAACUCCACAAGUUAUUUUGCUGUGAAAAUCAUCUUUUGCUAUAAUUGAGGCCCUUGAUUCAUGGCUUAAGGAAGGAAAUUCAUGAUACUAUUUUGAUGAGGAGGUAUAUGAAGUUGUAAAAGGUGUCUGGGAAGUUUGUAGAUAAGGGACGCCUCAUUAGCACAUGAUGAAGCAACAUGCUGGUCUUUUUUAAUUUACCAUGUUCACACAUUUCAAUUAGACUUUUUAUGUUUUAGGUAUUUCACUUUAUUUACUCUAUAAGUUUGUACUUACAUGUUUUCUUAGGAUAAUUACAGUUGUAUCAGUAUAUGAUUUUGUAUGAA